AUGGGCUUUGGGGAGUAGCGCAGCCAAAGGAUGCUUCCCCCAAAGGGUGGCACUGGGGUGGGCAUGGGAGGAUGUGCCCUCUGCUGCCUUCUUCCUCUGUGUCCCACCCAAACCACCCAGAAGUCAUUCAUGGGAGGACUCUUGCAAGGAUCUCCAUGGGAAUAACACCACGUCUCCCAGCAAUAAGGGUCUUUAUCUGCUAUUCCUGCUGCCCCAACAUCCUUACCUCAACCUGCUACACCUCAUCCUUCACUCAAUGCCUCUGGAGAACUUUCCAGGACUGAUUGUAAGAGAAGAACAUGACACCAAAUGUGUGCUGUGCAUCUGACAGCAGCUCCUCCACAUUCCCAUGUGCGUACAGGAGCCUGGGACCAGUUUGACCGUCCCAGUCUGACUAUCCCAGUCAAAGGACUCCAGCCGGCUGGGGCAGGACCAGGCCCUUCCACUGGAAAGUCCAACACUGAUAAGAGCAUAUUUUUGUCCCACUCAGCCAACUUCCAGCACGGUGCUCAUAGUAGCGUACUUGGAACGUCGAGAAAGAUGCUGUCUUUCGAGAAGUCCUGAAGGAUAUGGAACAUGUCUUAAGUGACAGAUCUAGGCUCUGAGCCUGAACAAGUUCAUUAUGUAUUGCUUAACUUUAUUCUGCAUAAAAUAUGUGUAAGUCUUUGCAGGCUGAGGGCCAGGACACUCAGAGCACCCUCACACCCCCACACACAUGGAAGAUAAUACAACAUAUUUUCCAUAUAACAAGUGGCAAGAUGCCAGAAGUUAUCUUCCAAAAUGUUCUGCAGAAUCUGUAAUCCCCAGCAAUAGUCAGCACUUUGCUGCUAGAAUGCUUAAAAAUACUCAGAGCUUCCAAAGGCAGAUAGCCCGUGAAAUCACAGUGGCGUAGAUUUAGUGCUGAUUCAGAAGGGAAAGUACCUUGACAAAUCAACCCCCACUCCCUGCAGCUUGCAGGAUGUUUUUGGAGGUCCUCUGCCCAGGUGAAAACCUAUCCGAUGGUGAUUGGUGCAGAAAUGUUUAUUUCUAAGCUGUCCAUUUUUAGCUGUCAAAUUGCUAUUUCCCACAAAAGCUACGAAUGCACUCAAGCUACAAGAAAUCUCAGCCAUAUCCCAAUAUAUUCCUAGUCCAGAUGAAGAGCAGUUUGUCCAUUUCCAUCUGUACCUUGCCCACAGAAAUACUCAGUGGAAGUGGAGAGUACUUUUGCAAUUAGAGGACAAAAUAUCAGGAUGCGGAGAAUGAUGAAUAAGAAGUUCCAGAGCAAGCAGAGUCUAAAGAGUCAUUCCAGUGGGUUGUCUCAUGUGGAAUGACCUUGUCUCUUAUCUCCGAUGAGGAAGGUUUUAUACAAGACUCUCCUGGGAAAAUUAUUGCCUUUUCGAGUUAAUGUUGGUGCAGCGUGAGAUACAUCUAAGGCAGAAAUUCCACGUACAAGGUUUGGGGAUGUGUAAGACUUUUAAAAGGUUGUACAAAGUGAAUGAAUGGUGAGUCAGCAACAUAUGAACGAGCUGAAAUAUUAGACUUCAAUGGAUGUACGUAGCUGUGUGCAGUGUUUCCUCUGAAAACGUCCCCGGAAGAGUAGCAGAAUGUUCUGCUGUCAAAGAGUCUUGUGGACACUGGCUGGUGCCUUGUUGGGCAAACUCAAUCCUGCCAUAAGUGGGAACUCCACCAGCCCCAGGAGAGAUGUGUCUUUUGUCACCAGAUAUGUCUUUUGUGCUUCUACCAGAUCACAGGGGUGGAAAUACUCACAUCUCCAGACUUCAGAGUGGGAGAAGCCCUAAAACCAUCAGCAGAGCUCUGAUCAGAACAAAUGUGAGACGUUUUACAUUCUUUCCUGUGCCUGGGCAUGCCACCACUACGCUAGAGGGACUGAAAAAAUAGGUUUCACUUAAGUUUGCAAAAGUUGAUCAGUGUGUCGGAAACACAGCAGGAGGAAAAGCGUCCCUCAAUGAGAGGUCACAUCACUACUGAGUUACCCUGCUGUGUUCUCCUGUCACAGAGAUCUCAGCAGUGUGUCCUAAACCUGCUGCAGUGACAGCAGAGGCUGUGGAUUCCCUGGAGCUGCUCUGCAGAGCUGCAUCUCACAGAGAGUUUUUACGCUGCCAGUACACCUGCUCUGCUCUGCCAAGCAGAACAAAGAUCAUCUUCCCACUGUUGGGUUGGACAUGUGCACUCUUAAAUCUGCCACUGUGAGUGAGACCCGAGCACAGCUCUCUGUGCUGUCCUGCCUGCCUGUGCCAGGCACAGUCCUAGGACAUGUUCCUGCUAUGAUGUUGCUGUCUCCCUAUCUUUUAGGGAUGCCCAUAGGAAUUAAUUUCUCUUACUUGCCAAUCUUCUUUAACCUUAAUGAAGGGGAUAUUGCUGGUGGUAACUCCUCCUAAUACACUCUGCUGUAUCUUAUGCCCUGGCUCCAGCCCAGAAGUGCAGGGAAUUGUACACAGAGGGUCAAUGAAGACAUCUCCAGACUACCUGGGAAUAGGGUGUUUCUAGACCCCUUUGGCAUCCUGCCCCAUGGAUGAAGACAGAUUUGGCAGUGGGGCACAUAUUAGAGGGCUGUGUUUGCCCAGCUAGUGGUGCUGUAGCCAUUGACAGAUUCUCUACAAACUGAUCAGUUGAUAUUUCAAAGAUUUUAUAUUUUUCAUCUAGACUCAGCCUGUGCUUCCAGCUGACCAGCAGUGCUGUAGCUGUGUAGAGCACUCAGCCUGGCACAGAGCCAAAGCUUAUCCCACUUAUUUUCCACAUACCCCGAAGCCCAUGCACACACAAACAUAAAUACGUGUGUGAAACAAUAUACUCUGAAAGGCUACUGAGGCUCUACGCUCCAGCAUUCAGCAGCCCGGAGUGUCCAGAAUUUGCCUGGUUUUCCUCAUCCAGAUGAACUGUAAUUGAGUUAUCCACGCCCUUUUCCUACAGGCAUCCCCCUCACUCUGCAUUGGCAAUGCUUGCUGCUCCUGAGGGAGCAGCUCCCCUCAUGAUUUAUUCUCCUCUUGUUUAAUGUGCAGCGAAGGGGCUUUUUACUGCCUGUUAUUCAAACUGUGCUUUGGGCACAAAAUUAUUCAUUUCCGUAUGGUUUUUCCAUGGUGCUCAUGACAGCAGUGUCUGAGAGUUUCACAUGCACUGUUUUCUUUUCCAGUCAUUUUGAGAGGAUGCUGACCCUGUAUUAUCAGUGAGGAAAGAAAGCAGGCAGUGAUGAAUAAAAAAAGGGUCUUCAUCAUUUCAGUUUCCCAAUGUGAGUCACAGUGCUUUUGAUGACAGACAUUCAGAGCCCAGCUCCAGCAGUCAUUGCACAACCUGAAGAUCUCCCACCUAAACACCCAGGUAAGGCAGAAAGUGCUAGUGAGUGCAUUGCUCACCAGUGACUUUAAUCUGUGAAUUUUCUGGGUUUUGUAAGUUUACCAUUCCUGUAACUUUUAUUUCCCAUUGGUAGUUCUCUAGAGUUAAUUAAUUAAUUUAAGUUAAUUCUUCUAAGCAAACUUAAAAUCCAUAAAUUUCGUCAGUCUUGACCAAAUUUGCUGUGAUACAGGUCAGCAGCAGGAUGGACUGUUUUGAGCUGUGGUGUGAUUGCCAUUUUGUGGGGUCCCUGGAAGCAGAAGUGACUGACUGAUAGGGACUGGCCUUGUGAAGACAGUGAGAUGUGCUCUACCAGCACAUUUUGAUUUGCUUUGUUUUUCCACAUAUUUUCUGACUGCAAGAUAGUGAUAAUUGAACUGCUGCCUUCAGUUGUGAAACACCUUGCAAAUAUCAUGAAAUUAAAGAAAAAAAUCUGUCACUUUUUUACCAAAUAGUUCUACUCAGUUUAUCAAAGUAUUCACAUACAAUUUCAAAAAGAUUUGAAUCCAGAGAGGUGCCUUAAAAAGUCAAAACAAAAAAGAUCAGCCUGUCCUGAAGAUACCAUGGAAAUGGUAUGUCCUACAUGAGGGUUUUUCUUGUAUCAAUCCAACCUUAACUGGGCUGUGCUGGUGCCUGCAGCUCUCCUCCACGGAUAGUAGUGGGGAGGGGUUGUAGCAUGGGAGGUAUUUUGGAGUGUGAGCAGCCCCAUGAGCUCAGCUCCCUCCCGUAUUUGUGGUGCCCUUCUUGUGCCCUGUGGGCUUAAGCUUCAAUUUUAACACAUCUGGGAUGAAGAACAGUUUCUUUCCCUGUUCCUCUCCACCUCCAAAAGUCCUGUUAGUGAAGGUGGAGAGAGGUGAUGUGAGAUACUGUAAGAUGCUAUUUGUGAAAACAUUUCUAAUCCUAAACAUGACCUCAUGAUGCAAACCAGGACUUUGGCGGCUAAAGACAAAACACAGCCUUUUUAUGCUUUGUGCUGUAAUUACUUCAUGAAGCAAAAUCCUCAGUCAAAUUAAUUUUCUUCAUGCAUAUCAGAGGUAUUAAACUGUGACUGUGCACAAGGAUUGGCCUUUCCUUUAGCUAGCCUGGCUCUAAAAAUAAAUUGGAAAAGUAAGUGGCAAGGAAAUAACAAACAGCUGAACAUUUUGAAGCCUUUUCUAUUAAAACAAGGUCUGUUUCUUCUAGUCUUCACUUCUCCCUGCCAGGCCAAGCACUGGGAGAUGAGGAGAAUGGGAGCAGGAACAGAAGCAAGUGUGAGAUAACCUACUAAGAUAGUGUUUGUGGUGUGGAGAAGUUCAAGGACCUGUUUCCUUACAAACCAUUCAGUGUGUCUGGCACCGCAGAGCCGAUGGGAACCACUCCCUGCAUUGAUCUGGCGGUGCAGACCUGGAGAUUAUUUGCCUACAAACAGCUCCUGCACACCAGUUGUGUUUACGGGAAGAAUCACUUGGCUUCAGAGUGCUACUUGUGAGCUGUGCCCAGCUGACUCGAGACACUCCAAUGGUUUUGCAGGGCGCCGUGGUGAAUCGAGAAAAUACAGAACAGAGCAGGUAAACAAACGUCCUUAAAGAUGAUCCCGUCUCAGACCUUGAUCCUGCAAACCCACACGGGCUUAAUGUUAAGCACAUGAACAGUCCCAGAUGACUUCAGCAGCGCUACUCACAUGCUCACAGUGCAAAGCAUUUGCUAGAUCAGAGCCUUUAUGUCUAAUUGCAAAAUAAAAGGCAAGUCUCCCAGUUCUA